rnacentral:pre_miRNA from 14 species
GAGUGGAAUGUUGAAUUAGCUGCUGUUGGGAGACCCUGGUCUGCACUCUAUCUGUAUGCAUAUUGAAGGGAGUGCAGGGCAGGGUUUCCCAUACAGAGGGCACAGGCUACCACCGCAUG